ACAACCUUACUUGAACGCGAUCUGUUCUAUAGGCUCGUACCUUUGAGUCCUUGAGUUCUAAGGAGAGAGGAAUUUAAGUCUCAUUAAUAAACAAUGGUCGUGUGACUAGAGCGCGCGAGUAACGGCUCCCGUUUCUUCGCAGGGAUGGAGCGGCUGUAGAGGAAGGUUCUCGGCCCACGAUUGAUGGUUAGGGUGGUCACAUGGCCGUCUUACAAACU
rfam:Punica granatum cultivar Dabenzi scaffold123, whole genome shotgun sequence.